rnacentral:rRNA from 1 species
GACGUAGGGGGCAAGCGUUGUUCGGAAUUACUGGGCGUAAAGCGCACGUAGGCGGAUUGUUAAGUUAGGGGUGAAAUCCCAGGGCUCAACCCUGGAACUGCCUUUAAUACUGGCAAUCUCGAGUCCGAGAGAGGUGAGUGGAAUUCCGAGUGUAGAGGUGAAAUUCGUAGAUAUUCGGAGGAACACCAGUGGCGAAGGCGGCUCACUGGCUCGGUACUGACGCUGAGGUGCGAAAGCGUGGGGAGCAAACAGG